rnacentral:misc_RNA from 1 species
AACCAUUCUCACCUGCGGCUAGACCUGCGGAAGGAUCAUUACAGAGUUGCAAGACUCCCUAAACCAUUGUGAACCUACCUUCUACCGUUGCUUCGGCGGGCGGGCCCAGCGCCCCCCCGGCCCCCCGCGGGCGCCCGCCGGAGGAUACCCAAACUCUUGACAUUAGUGGCCUCUCUGAGUAUUCUUUACUGAAUAAGUCAAAACUUUCAGCAACGGAUCU